GACGAACGCUGGCGGCGUGCUUAACACAUGCAAGUCGAACGGAAAGGCCCUGCUUUUGUGGGGUGCUCGAGUGGCGAACGGGUGAGUAACACGUGAGUAACCUGCCCUUGACUUUGGGAUAACUUCAGGAAACUGGGGCUAAUACCGGAUAGGAGCUCCUGCUGCAUGGUGGGGGUUGGAAAGUUUCGGCGGUUGGGGAUGGACUCGCGGCUUAUCAGCUUGUUGGUGGGGUAGUGGCUUACCAAGGGUUUGACGGGUAGCCGGCCUGGGAGGGUGACCGGCCACAUUGGGACUGAGAUACGGCCCAGACUCCUACGGGAGGCAGAAGUGGGGAAUAUUGCACAAUGGGCGGAAGCGUGAUGCAGCAACGCCGCGUGCGGGAUGACGGCCUUCGGGUUGUAAACCGCUUUCGCCUGUGACGAAGCGUGAGUGACGGUAAUGGGUAAAGAAGCACCGGCUAACUACGUG
rnacentral:rRNA from 1 species